rnacentral:rRNA from 1 species
GAGUUUGAUCAUGGCUCAGAACGAACGCUGGCGGCGUGCUUAACACGUGCAAGUCGAACGAACCUUCGGGUGAGUGGCGGACGGGUGAGUAACGCGUGGGAAUCUGCCCUCAGGAGGGGGAUAACGGCUGGAAACGGCCGCUAAUACCCCAUAUGCCGAGAGGUGAAAUGAAUUUCGCCUGAGGAUGAGCCCGCGUCUGAUUAGCUAGUUGGUGAGGUAAGAGCUCACCAAGGCAUCGAUCAGUAGCUGGUCCGAGAGGAUGAUCAGCCACACUGGGACUGAGACACGGCCCAGACUCCUACGGGAGGCAGCAGUGGGGAAUUUUCCGCAAUGGGCGAAAGCCUGACGGAGCAACGCCGCGUGAGGGAUGAAGGCCUCUGGGCUGUAAACCUCUUUUCUCAAGGAAGAAGAUCUGACGGUACUUGAGGAAUAAGCCACGGCUAAUUCCGUGCCAGCAGCCGCCGCAGUAAG